CCGCUAUCGGGGUGGGGCUAAGCCAUGCGAGUCGUACGCCCGGGGACCGCCGGGCGUGGCGCACGGCUCAGUAACACGUGCCUAACCUACCCUCGGGAGGGGGAUAACCCCGGGAAACUGGGGCUAAUCCCCCAUAGGGGAAGGGUGCUGGAAGGCCCCUUCCCCGAAAGGGACCGCGGUCGAUCUACCGCGAUCCGCCCGAGGAUGGGGGCACGGCCCAUCAUGGUAGUUGGCGGGGUAACGGCCCGCCAAGCCGAAGACGGGUGGGGGCCGUGAGAGCGGGAGCCCCGAGAUGGGCACUGAGACAAGGGCCCAGGCCCUACGGGGUGCAGCAGGCGCGAAAACUCCGCAAUGCGGGAAACCGUGACGGGGCCACCCCGAGUGCCGCCCGAAGAGGGCGGCUUUUGCCCGGUGCAAAAAGCCGGGCGAAUAAGCGGGGGGCAAGUCUGGUGUCAGCCGCCGCGGUAAUACCAGCCCCGCGAGUGGUCGGGGUGCUUACUGGGCCUAAAGCGCCCGUAGCCGGCCCGGUAAGUCGCCCCUGAAAUCCACGGGCUCAACCCGUGGGCUGGGGGCGAUACUACCGGGCUUGGGGGCGGGAGAGG
rnacentral:rRNA from 1 species